CCUACGGGCGGCAGCAGUCGGGAAUAUUGCACAAUGGAGGAAACUCUGACGCAGUGACGCCGCGUGCAGGAAGAAGGUUUUCGGAUUGUAAACUUCUUUCGACAGGGAAGAUAAUGACAGUACCUGUAGAAUAAGCUGCGGCUAACUACGGGCCAGCAGCCGCGGUAAUACGUAGGGAGCAAGCGUUAUCCGGAUUUAUUGGGUGUAAAGGGUGAGUAGACGGGAAGGCAAGUUAGUUGUGAAAUCCCUCGGCUUAACUGAGGAACUGCAACUAAAACUAUCGUUCUUGAGUGCUGGAGAGGAAAGUGGAAUUCCUAGUGUAGCGGUGAAAUGCGUAGAUAUUAGGAGGAACACCAGUGGCGAAGGCGACUUUCUGGACAGUAACUGACGUUGAGGCACGAAAGUGUGGGGAGCAAACAGGAUUAGAUACCCGUGUAGUC
rnacentral:rRNA from 1 species